GUCUAGCCCCGAUGGGAACGGUAUCCUUUUUUAGGAUUGGCCUGAGCAUUUGCGAAGGCACAUCAAUCCUGAAAAAGAUACAGUGGACAGCGGGAAACACC
rnacentral:sRNA from 10 species